GGUCAAGUGAAGAAGCGCAUACGGUGGAUGCCUUGGCAGUCAGAGGCGAUGAAAGACGUGGUAGCCUGCGAAAAGCUUCGGGGAGUCGGCAAACAGACUGUGAUCCGGAGAUGUCUGAAUGGGGGAACCCAGCCAUCACAAGAUGGUUAUCUUACACUGAAUACAUAGGUGUAAGAGGCGAACCAGGGGAACUGAAACAUCUAAGUACCCUGAGGAAAAGAAAUCAACCGAGAUUCCCUUAGUAGUGGCGAGCGAACGGGGACCAGCCCUUAAGUUGUAUUGAGAUUAGCGGAACGCUCUGGAAAGUGCGGCCAUAGUGGGUGAUAGCCCUGUACGCGAAAAUCCCUUUGCAAUGAAAUCGAGUAGGACGGGGCACGAGAAACCUUGUCUGAAUAUGGGGGGACCAUCCUCCAAGGCUAAAUACUACUGACUGACCGAUAGUGAACCAGUACCGUGAGGGAAAGGCGAAAAGAACCGCGGAGAGCGGAGUGAAAUAGAUCCUGAAACCGUAUGCGUACAAGCAGUGGGAGCCCACUUUGUUGGGUGACUGCGUACCUUUUGUAUAAUGGGUCAGCGACUUAUUUUCAGUGGCGAGCUUAACCGAAUAGGGGAGGCGUAGCGAAAGCGAGUCUUAAUAGGGCGUCUAGUCGCUGGGAAUAGACCCGAAACCGGGCGAUCUAUCCAUGGGCAGGUUGAAGGUUGGGUAACACUAACUGGAGGACCGAACCGACUACCGUUGAAAAGUUAGCGGAUGACCUGUGGAUCGGAGUGAAAGGCUAAUCAAGCUCGGAGAUAGCUGGUUCUCCUCGAAAGCUAUUUAGGUAGCGCCUCAUGUAUCACUGUAGGGGGUAGAGCACUGUUUCGGCUAGGGGGUCAUCCCGACUUACCAAACCGAUGCAAACUCCGAAUACCUACAAGUGCCGAGCAUGGGAGACACACGGCGGGUGCUAACGUCCGUCGUGAAAAGGGAAACAACCCAGACCGUCAGCUAAGGUCCCAAAGUCAUGGUUAAGUGGGAAACGAUGUGGGAAGGCUUAGACAGCUAGGAGGUUGGCUUAGAAGCAGCCACCCUUUAAAGAAAGCGUAAUAGCUCACUAGUCGAGUCGGCCUGCGCGGAAGAUGUAACGGGGCUCAAACCAUGCACCGAAGCUACGGGUAUCACCUUUGGUGAUGCGGUAGAGGAGCGUUCUGUAAGCCUGUGAAGGUGAGUUGAGAAGCUUGCUGGAGGUAUCAGAAGUGCGAAUGCUGACAUGAGUAACGACAAUGGGUGUGAAAAACACCCACGCCGAAAGACCAAGGUUUCCUGCGCAACGUUAAUCGACGCAGGGUUAGUCGGUCCCUAAGGCGAGGCUGAAAAGCGUAGUCGAUGGAAAACAGGUUAAUAUUCCUGUACUUCUGGUUAUUGCGAUGGAGGGACGGAGAAGGCUAGGCCAGCCUGGCGUUGGUAGUCCAGGUUUAAGGUGGUAGGCUGAGAUCUUAGGUAAAUCCGGGAUCUUAAGGCCGAGAGCUGAUGACGAGUGUUCUUUUAGAACAUGAAGUGGUUGAUGCCAUGCUUCCAAGAAAAGCUUCUAAGCUUCAGGUAACCAGGAACCGUACCCCAAACCGACACAGGUGGUUGGGUAGAGAAUACCAAGGCGCUUGAGAGAACUCGGGUGAAGGAACUAGGCAAAAUGGCACCGUAACUUCGGGAGAAGGUGCGCCGGUGAGGGUGAAGCAUUUACUGCGUAAGCCCACGCCGGUCGAAGAUACCAGGCCGCUGCGACUGUUUAUUAAAAACACAGCACUCUGCAAACACGAAAGUGGACGUAUAGGGUGUGACGCCUGCCCGGUGCCGGAAGGUUAAUUGAUGGGGUUAGCGCAAGCGAAGCUCUUGAUCGAAGCCCCGGUAAACGGCGGCCGUAACUAUAACGGUCCUAAGGUAGCGAAAGUCCUUGUCGGGUAAGUUCCGACCUGCACGAAUGGCGUAACGAUGGCGGCGCUGUCUCCACCCGAGACUCAGUGAAAUUGAAAUCGCUGUGAAGAUGCAGUGUAUCCGCGGCUAGACGGAAAGACCCCGUGAACCUUUACUAUAGCUUUGCACUGGACUUUGAAUUUGCUUGUGUAGGAUAGGUGGGAGGCUUUGAAGCGUGGACGCCAGUCUGCGUGGAGCCAACCUUGAAAUACCACCCUGGCAACUUUGAGGUUCUAACUCAGGUCCGUUAUCCGGAUCGAGGACAGUGUAUGGUGGGUAGUUUGACUGGGGCGGUCUCCUCCUAAAGAGUAACGGAGGAGUACGAAGGUGCGCUCAGACCGGUCGGAAAUCGGUCGUAGAGUAUAAAGGCAAAAGCGCGCUUGACUGCGAGACAGACACGUCGAGCAGGUACGAAAGUAGGUCUUAGUGAUCCGGUGGUUCUGUAUGGAAGGGCCAUCGCUCAACGGAUAAAAGGUACUCCGGGGAUAACAGGCUGAUACCGCCCAAGAGUUCAUAUCGACGGCGGUGUUUGGCACCUCGAUGUCGGCUCAUCACAUCCUGGGGCUGAAGCCGGUCCCAAGGGUAUGGCUGUUCGCCAUUUAAAGUGGUACGCGAGCUGGGUUUAGAACGUCGUGAGACAGUUCGGUCCCUAUCUGCCGUGGACGUUUGAGAUUUGAGAGGGGCUGCUCCUAGUACGAGAGGACCGGAGUGGACGAACCUCUGGUGUUCCGGUUGUCACGCCAGUGGCAUUGCCGGGUAGCUAUGUUCGGAAAAGAUAACCGCUGAAAGCAUCUAAGCGGGAAACUUGCCUCAAGAUGAGAUCUCACUGGAACCUAGAGUUCCCUGAAGGGCCGUCGAAGACUACGACGUUGAUAGGUUGGGUGUGUAAGCGCUGUGAGGCGUUGAGCUAACCAAUACUAAUUGCCCGUGAGGCUUGACCAU
rnacentral:rRNA from 1 species